rnacentral:rRNA from 1 species
UACGUAGGUGGCAAGCGUUGUCCGGAUUUAUUGGGUUUAAAGGGUGCGUAGGCGGUCUUUUAAGUCAGUGCUGAAAUAUCCCGGCUUAACCGGGAGGGUGGCAUUGAUACUGAAGGACUUGAGUUCAGUCGAAGUAGGCGGAAUUGACGGUGUAGCGGUGAAAUGCUUAGAUAUCGUCAAGAACACCGAUAGUGUAGACAGCUUUCUAGGCUGAAACUGACGCUGAGGCACGAAAGUGUGGGGAGCAAACAGG